rnacentral:rRNA from 1 species
GACGAACGCUGGCGGCGUGCUUAACACAUGCAAGUCGAACGGAAAGGCCCUGCUUUUGUGGGGUGCUCGAGUGGCGAACGGGUGAGUAACACGUGAGUAACCUGCCCUUGACUUUGGGAUAACUUCAGGAAACUGGGGCUAAUACCGGAUAGGAGCUCCUGCUGCAUGGUGGGGGUUGGAAAGUUUCGGCGGUUGGGGAUGGACUCACGGCUUAUCAGCUUGUUGGUGGGGUAGUGGCUUACCAAGGCUUUGACGGGUAGCCGGCCUGAGAGGGUGACCGGGCACAUUGGGACUGAGAGACGGCCCAGACGCCUACGGGAGGCAGCAGUGGGGAAUAUUGCACAAUGGGGGGAAGCCUGAUGCAGCAACGCCGCGUGCGUGAUGACGGCCUUCGGGUUAUAAACCGCUUUCGCCUGUGACGAAGCGUGAGUGACGGUAAUGGGUAAAGAAGCACCGGCUAACUACGUG